AUUCAUUUGUUUGGUGAUCUCCCCAUAUGAUAGGGUCUGGCAGUGUAUGACCAACUGUAAGGUGACUGUAUACUCACUUUAGUCUUUUUUUGUGCAGGAUUCCUAAAGUUGUAAGGAAAAGGCCAAGUUCCUUAAAGCAACAAACUGUGAAAAAAGACACAGAGACUAGUAAGGAUUCCGUGUCUGCUUCACAGAAAGGAGAUUCAGAGGAUGAAAAAGAAAGCGGCCCAAAGAAGGCAGAACAUCCCGAAAAGACUGGGAAAGGUUCUGAGGAACAAUCUCAGAAGGAUCAUUUAGAGGUUGGUGCAAAGAAAGCAACACCACUAAAAGGUCCUAAGAAACGACCCCUAAAGGGAAAGCCUAGAAGGAUGGUGAAAAGGGGCAUUGGUGCAAAGAAGAAGGUAGUGCCAAUAAGAGGCCCAGCAAAGACUGGGACAAGUUCUAAAGAACAAUCCAAGAAAGAGGAUUCAGAGGCUGAGAAGAAGACUAUGAAAGUCAAACCUCCAGUAAAAGAUCCAGAAAAAACUGGGACAAUUCCUAAGGAACAAGCCCAGAAAAAGGAUCUUGAGGCUGGAAAAAAGGCUAUAGAGGUCAGUAGUGCAAAGAAGGCACAGCCAGUAAAAGGUCCAGCAAAGACUCAGAAAAGACCCCUAAAGAGAAGUUCACAGCCUAGAAGGACAGUGAAAAGGGGCAUUGGUGCAAAGAAGAAGGUAGUGCCAAUAAGAGGCCCAGCAAAGACUGGGACAAGUUCUAAGGAACAAUCCAAGAAAGAGGAUUCAGAGGCUGAGAAGAAGGUGAUGAAGGUAAAACCGCCAGUAAAAGAUCCAGCAAAAACUGGGGCAAGUUCUAAGGAACAAGCCCAGAAAAAGGAUCUUGAGGCUGGAAAAAAGGCUAUAGAGGUCAGUAGUGCAAAGAAGGCACAGCCAGUAAAAGGUCCAGCAAAGACUCAGAAAAGACCCUUACAGAGAAGUUCACAGCCUAGAAGGAUAGUGAAAACUGGCAUUGGUGCAAAGAAGAAGGUAGUGCCAAUAAGAGGCCCAGCAAAGACUGGGAAAGGUGGGACUGCAAAGAUAGCCAAAAAGGCACCACCAGUAAAGCGGCCCACCCAGACUGGGAAGACAUCUAAAGGUCAAUCCCAGAAGGACUCACCAAAAGACCAAAGUAAGAAUUAAUCACGGAUGAUGCAGAUUCUGAAAAAAGCAAACGCAUCAGUGACAAAUGCAGUGAGCAAUUUUGAAGAAUUGCUCGGGAAUGGAGGAGGGAUUAUACACAAAAGCCGUCGGCGCGUCGGAGGAGCAGGCAAUGCAAGUUAUCCGCGCCUGCAGAACGAUGGCGCCGACUGCAAAGUAAACUAUCGUAUCAGUGAGAAAUGCAGUGAGCAGUUUAAAAGACCCGGAGAAGAAGAAAUGAAGAUGAACAAACGGAAGAUUCCAGAUAGGGGGAGAAGGAUCCCUUUACCUCUACCUGAUUAUUAUAUGUUAUGUUUGUAUCUAUUCUAUUUUAGAAAGAUAUGUUUGAAUUUUUCAAUAAAAAUUCAAAAAAAAUUC